UACGGAGGGGGCUAGCGUUGUUCGGAAUUACUGGGCGUAAAGCGCGCGUAGGCGGACCUGCAAGUCGGGGGGUGAAAGCCCGAGGCUCAACCUCGGAACUGCCUUCGAUACUGCGGGUCUCGAGUCCGGGAGAGGUGAGUGGAAUUCCUAGUGUAGAGGUGAAAUUCGUAGAUAUUAGGAAGAACACCAGUGGCGAAGGCGGCUCACUGGCCCGGUACUGACGCGUGAGGCGCGAAAGCGUGGGGGAGCAAACAGG
rnacentral:rRNA from 1 species